GGACUACAAGGGUUUCUAAUCCCGUUUGCUCCCCUGGCUUUCGCGCCUCAGCGUUAGAAGUGGUCCAGUAGUGCGCUUUCGCCACCGGCGUUCCUUCCGAUAUCAACGCAUUUCACCGCUCCACCGGAAGUUCCCACUACCCCUACCACCCUCGAGUCCGCCAGUAUCAAAGGCACUUCUCCAGUUAAGCUGGAGGCUUUCACCCCUGACUUGGCAGACCGCCUACGCGCCCUUUAAGCCCAGUGAUUCCGAACAACGUUCGCACGGUUCGUCUUACCGCGGCUGCUGGCAC
rnacentral:rRNA from 1 species